rnacentral:rRNA from 1 species
ACAUGCCUACAGCAUAGCGUUAAUGCACCGUAUCCCAUUAUAACUCCGCAGUUAAGUGCGCUUAGGCUAGAGUAGUACUGGGAUGGGUGAACGCUCGGGAAGUCUUAGUGGUUUACAUGCC